rnacentral:rRNA from 1 species
AUACGGAGGAUGCGAGCGUUAUCCGGAUUUAUUGGGUUUAAAGGGUGCGUAGGCGGCCUUGUAAGUCAGCGGUGAAAUUUUGCAGCUUAACUGUAAAAGUGCCGUUGAUACUGUGAGGCUAGGAUUUGGUUGCUGUGGGUGGAAUGUGUGGUGUAGCGGUGAAAUGCUUAGAGAUCACACAGAAUAUCGAUUGCGAAGGCGGCUCACAAAGCCAAGAUUGACGCUGAGGCACGAAAGUGUGGGGAUCAAACAGGAUUAGAUACCCUGGUAGUCCACACUGUAAACGAUGAUAACUCGCUGUCGGCGAUAUACAGUCGGUGGCCAAGCGAAAGCGAUAAGUUAUCCACCUGGGGAGUACGACCGCAAGGUUGAAACUCAAAUGAAUUGACGGGG